rnacentral:rRNA from 1 species
UACGUAGGCAGCAAGCGUUGUUCGGAGUUACUGGGCGUAAAGGGUGUGUAGGCGGUUCUUUAAGUUUGCUGUGAAAUCUCCCGGCUUAACCGGGAGGGUGCGGUGAAUACUGAGGGACUAGAGUACGGGAGAGGAAAGUGGAAUUCCUGGUGUAGCGGUGAAAUGCGUAGAUAUCAGGAGGAACACCGGUGGUGUAGACGGCUUUCUGGACCGACACUGACGCUGAGACACGAAAGCGUGGGGAGCGAACAGG